CCUACGGGAGGCAGCAGUGAGGAAUAUUGGACAAUGGGUGGAAGCCUGAUCCAGCCAUCCCGCGUGUAGGAUGACGGCCUUAUGGGUUGUAAACUACUUUUAUCUGGGGAUAAACCUACUUACGUGUAAGUAGCUGAAGGUACCAGAAGAAUAAGCACCGGCUAACUCCGUGCCAGCAGCCGCGGUAAU
rnacentral:rRNA from 2 species